rnacentral:rRNA from 1 species
GGGAGGAAGGCGCGGAUGACGUCAAGUCCGUAUGGCCCUUACAUCCAGGGCUGCACACGUGCUACAAUGGCCGGUAUAAUGGGCUGCGACCUUGCGAGAGGAAGCCAAUCCCCAAAAACCGGCCCCAGUUCGGAUUGGAGUCUGCAACUCGACUCCAUGAAGUUGGAAUCGCUAGUAAAGGCGUAUCAGCAACGACGCCUUGAAUACGUUCCCGGGCCUU